rnacentral:rRNA from 1 species
AAUCUGCCUGGUAGUGGGGGAUAACGUCCGGAAACGGGCGCUAAUACCGCGUACGUCCUACGGGAGAAAGCAGGGGAUCUUCGGACCUUGCGCUAUCAGAUGAGCCCAGGUCGGAUUAGCUAGUAGGUGAGGUAAUGGCUCACCUAGGCGACGAUCCGUAACUGGUCUGAGAGGAUGAUCAGUCACACUGGAACUGAGACACGGUCCAGACUCCUACGGGAGGCAGCAGUGGGGAAUAUUGGACAAUGGGGGCAACCCUGAUCCAGCCAUGCCGCGUGUGUGAAGAAGGUCUUCGGAUUGUAAAGCACUUUAAGUUGGGAGGAAGNGCUUUAGGUUAAUACCCUGAAGUUUUGACGUUACCAACAGAAUAAGCACCGGCUAACUCUGUGCCAGCAGCCGCGGUAAUACAGAGGGUGCAAGCGUUAAUCGGAAUUACUGGGCGUAAAGCGCGCGUAGGUGGUUCAGUAAGAUGGGUGUGAAAUCCCCGGGCUUAACCUGGGAACUGCUUUCAUAACUGCUGAGCUAGAGUACGGUAGAGGGUAGUGGAAUUUCCUGUGUAGCGGUGAAAUGCGUAGAUAUAGGAAGGAACACCAGUGGCGAAGGCGACUACCUGGACUGAUACUGACACUGAGGUGCGAAAGCGUGGGGAGCAAACAGGAUUAGAUACCCUGGUAGUCCACGCCGUAAACGAUGUC